rnacentral:rRNA from 1 species
CCUGGCGGGUGCUUACCAUGCAAGUCGAACGGAGAUUCAGCAAUGGAUCUUAGUGGCGAACGGGUGAGUAACGCGUAGGCAAUCUGCCUUCUAGAUGGGGACAACAUCCCGAAAGGGGUGCUAAUACCGAAUGUUGUAGUUGGUUCGCAUGGACUAGCUACUAAAGGUGGCCUCUGAAUAUGCUACCGCUAGAAGAUGAGCCUGCGUCUGAUUAGCUAGUUGGAGGGGUAACGGCCCACCAAGGCUUCGAUCAGUAGCCGGUCUGAGAGGAUGAACGGCCACACUGGGACUGAGACACGGCCCAGACUCCUACGGGAGGCAGCAGUGGGGAAUCUUCCGCAAUGGACGAAAGUCUGACGGAGCAACGCCGCGUGAGUGAAGAAGGUUUUCGGAUCGUAAAGCUCUUUCGUUAGGGACGAACGUGCUCUUUGUGAAUAAUGAGGAGUAAUGACGGUACCUAAAUAAGAAGCCACGGCUAACUACGUGCCAGCAGCCGCGGUAAUACGUAGGUGGCAAGCGUUGUCCGGAAUUAUUGGGCGUAAAGCGCGCGCAGGCGGGAUAUCAAGUCUGUCUUAAAAGUGCGAGGCUCCACCUCGUGAGGGGACGGAAACUGGUAUUCUUGAGUGUCGGAGAGGAAAGUGGAAUUCCAAGUGUAGCGGUGAAAUGCGUAGAGAUUUGGAAGAACACCAGUGGCGAAGGCGACUUUCUGGACGAUGUCUGACGCUGAGGCGCGAAAGCUAGGGGAGCGAACGGGAUUAGAUACCCCGGUAGUCCUAGCCGUAAACGAUGGGUACUAGGUGUAGGGGGUAUCGACCCCUCC